GAGGCUUGUCACGUGCAAACUUGCUGAGGGUACACUUGAUCCCACUGACAAUUUAACUGAUGAAGAUAUUAAACAGCAUUAGUUCCAGUACUGACCCCUGAGAGACAUGAGACACUGACCACCACUGUCUGGAUAUGAUCUUAAAACCAGUUCCUUAUUCAUGGAACAGUCCACCCAUCAAAUUCAUAUAUUUCCAGUCCGGAGAGAAGGAUGUUGUGAGAGACCAUGUCAAAGCUUUAACUGAAAUUCAGAUAGAUGACGUCCGUUGCCCUUCUCUUGUCCACUAUACACUUACUCCAUCACAGAAGGCCACUAGGUUGGUCAGGCAGUACUUGUCCUUGGUGAAGCCAUGACGAUUGUCCCAUAUCAACUCCCUUUCUUCCAUCUGACAUAGCAUAGCUUCCAGGAAGAUCUGUUCCAUGAUGUUCCCUGGCACAGAGGAGGAAAUGGAUGAAGAUCCUGCAGAUGCUAAGCAACUUGUACCUCAGGGGAUUAAAAUGACAGCCUGUUCCAUAAAUCCUUGAGGAUUAACAACACAUAUGUUCAAGCAUCAAAUCAUAGCAAAAGAAAAAGAGGAGCUUGUUUUUGUCUUGGAGCAUUAUCACAGCAGAUAGUAGAGACAUGGAACGUAUGUAUAUUAAGUAAAGUUGGGCAAAUGUAUAAGAGUAGAAUAAAAUUUCACUGUUUUUACCUUCUUUUGUUAAUCAGGCCAUUGUAUUGUUGUAUAUUUAUACUAAAGAGAACAAAUACUUGGAUUUUUAUUUCAGAAAGGGUUUGUGUUCUUGUCUGAGUUAAUGCUUGAGAACUAUAUUAUGGCAGUGUAUUGUGCCAACAGCAGCUACGCUCCUGCUAAAUUUUAGGUGAUUACCUGUGUGAGCUAUUCCACUUAAUAAUUAGAAAACAUUUCUCUUGAGUUGCAGUGCUGCAAAUAGAAAUCAGUUCGCGUUAGUUUUGAAACAAUCUUGUCGUCAUAAAUUUCCUUUUAUGAUCUUGUCUUCAUCUAGUUCACUGUAUACCCCAAAGGUUAUUUUCUUUUCAACCCUUAACAGUUAACAUACCAUAGAAAAAAUAUGCAGGUAUUUGAGAGGGAUGGGAUAUUGUAUUGGAACUGUUAAACUGAACUCAGCUGCUGACUUACAAGUGUCAGCAUUUUCUGAGUUUUGUAAAGAAGUGAACCAUACUGGGUGGAUGCCAAAAAGUACUCCUUUAUGUUCUCAUCAGUGGUGUACACGGAUGAAACUCUUCAGCUGUAAGAAUAGUUGUUUCAUUUUUAAUUUAGCUAAACUUCUGGGGAUUUGAAUUUUGGGCAAAACCUUGGUGUGGUGAUUUAUUUACUGGUUUGGCUGUUUGGGGUGUUGAGAAAUUCUUGUUCUCUCCAUUUUGAGUAUCAAUACUGAAGUACUUUGUCAAGAUCCUUGCA
ensembl:lncRNA